ACUCCUACGGGAGGCAGCAGUGGGGAAUAUUGGACAAAGGGGGGAACCCUGAUCCAGCCAUGCCGCGUGUGUGAAGAAGGCCCUCGGGUUGUAAAGCACUUUCAGCGAGGAAGAACGCCUAGCGGUUAAUACCCGCUAGGAAAGACAUCACUCGCAGAAGAAGCACCGGCUAACUCCGUGCCAGCAGCCGCGGUAAUACGGAGGGUGCAAGCGUUAAUCGGAAUUACUGGGCGUAAAGCGCGCGUAGGUGGCUUGAUAAGCCGGUUGUGAAAGCCCCGGGCUCAACCUGGGAACGGCAUCCGGAACUGUCAAGCUAGAGUGCAGGAGAGGAAGGUAGAAUUCCCGGUGUAGCGGUGAAAUGCGUAGAGAUCGGGAGGAAUACCAGUGGCGAAGGCGGCCUUCUGGACUGACACUGACACUGAGGUGCGAAAGCGUGGGUAGCAAACAGGAUUAGAUACCUUGGUAGUCCACGCCGUAAACGAUGUCGACCAGCCGUUGGGUGCCUAGCGCACUUUGUGGCGAAGUUAACGCG
rnacentral:rRNA from 1 species